AAAAAAAAAAAAAAAGAGACGGGGUUUCACUAUGUUGCUCAGGCUGGUUUCAAACUCUUGGGCUCGAACGGUCUUCCUGCCUCAGCCUCCCAAAAUGCUGGCAUUAUAGGCAUGAGCCACUGCACCCAGCCUGCCGUGUGACUUCUGACUAACCCGAAACUGGGAAUGCCUCCAACAUGUCUAACGGAUGUGUUACUCUUUAUGUAGAAACACGUACUUACCAGCCUUUCCUCCAGAACAAGCCUUGAUGUUGUCACAUCCAUCACAAGAUGUAUCGCCCAUAGCCACCUACGCGUUUCUUCCAGAGCACAGAUAUGCUUUCCUCGAGAUAGAAGCCCUGUGUCUGGGGGUUGCAGGGUGUGAUCUAUCUGUCUUGCUGCUGCCCAAGACCACACUUCUU
rnacentral:lncRNA from 1 species